UCCCAGGGGUCGUCUCCCUUUGGGGCCUUCAAAACUUCUUCCAUUUUCAGAAUAGGAAUAAAGAAGGACUACAGACACUUUUUGCUUUAGUGGGUCACAGAGACUGAUGUGUACUUGCUUAGGAAUUAAUAUUCUGUGGAACUUCAAUUGGCAGCAGUUUCAGGAAGUCUGGGAAGAGUUUGGGAAAUGACGGAUCUAAAGAGGCGGGCAGAGUGGACUGCCAGAUGACAAGCCAGGAGAUACAGACCAUCUAGAAAGAUGGGCCAGAAGCUUAACUAAGGUACCAGAAGCUAAUGAUGUGGUCAGAAUGCUUUUAAAAAUGGAUGCUCAAGGACAUAGUGGGAGGAAAGCAGUAGUGAACAUGGUGGACUUGGUGGAUUUUUUGGGCGGGGGGCGCAGGUGUGGCAUCAACAAGGGAAUGGCCAUCCACAUAGGGAAGGCAUGUGGAGAACAGGAUGUUUGAGAGGAAUUACAAGGACUAACAGGAUCUACUCCCUAUUUCGGUAAGGGGCAUAGGAAGAGGGAUAGGUGCAACAAAGACCAGGGGAGUCCAAAAACCACUGAAUGGAUCAAUGGAUGAACCUGGAGGACCCUGUGCUAAGUGAAAGAAGCCUGACACAGGGAGAGGAUACUGCAUGAUCUCUCCAGUGGAAUUUGAAAGACAUGUACUUGUAGAUGCAAGGAGUAGAAUGGUCUAUGGGCAACAAAGAGGUGAUGGUUAAGGAGUUGUAACACUUCAACUAUGCAAGUUGAUUAAGUUCUGGAGAUCUACUAUGUGGUAUCAUGUCUAGAGCUGACAGUACUGUAUUGUAUACUUAAAAUUUCUAAGAGGGCAGAAUGUAUGUUAAAUAUUCUUACUAACAAAGCCCCUGGCCCCAGCCAUAAUAAGAAAGAGAAUGGGAAGAAUCUUGGGGAGGUCUAUUUGUCAUCUUGGUGCUGGUGAUGAAUUCAUGGGUGUAUACUUUCCCCAAACUCAUUGAGAUGCAUACACAAAAUAUUCAAGGUUUUAUUUGUCAACUAUUUCUUAAUAAAAUGAUUUUAAAUAAA